UACGGGGGGGGCAAGCGUUGUUCGGAAUUACUGGGCGUAAAGGGCGCGUAGGCGGCUGUCUAAGUCAGACGUGAAAUCCCUCGGCUCAACCGGGGAACUGCGUCUGAGACUGGAUGGCUUGAAUCCGGGAGAGGGAUGCGGAAUUCCAGGUGUAGCGGUGAAAUGCGUAGAUAUCUGGAGGAACACCGGUGGCGAAGGCGGCAUCCUGGACCGGCAUUGACGCUGAGGCGCGAAAGCCAGGGGAGCAAACGGGAUUAGAAACCCCCGUAGUCC
rnacentral:rRNA from 1 species